UGAGGAGUUUUUGUCCCCCUUCCUCCAGCUCGGCAGCGCAGGGAUCUGUGCGGUGCUGCGGCCGAGCUGAAUGAGAUUGAAGAAGAGUUCUUCUUGUUUUGUAGCUUCAGUUUUUCUCUUUUGCUCUUUUUCUCUAAAAGUCGGAUUCUCUCCGGAGCAGCGGCGCCUGUGAGCGGGGAGCAGCGGCCCGAGCGAGCGGUCCCGGAGCCUCCACCGUGGAUCGGCUGCUGACACAUAUAUAUUUAAUUAAUCUGGAGGAGGACUGCUGCUGAGGCAGCACAGAGGGGUGGAGUCCAGUCCCACAGCCAGGUGCGGCACUUUAAUGCUUCAGUUGGAUGGUUUUCCUACUGGACACGGUGUUAAGG